rnacentral:tRNA from 1 species
AGUCUUAUAUUCAACAAUGAUUUUAAAUUGCAAAUUUAAAGGAGGAUCAAACCCUAAGGCUU